AACGAACGCUGGCGGCAUGCCUAACACAUGCAAGUCGAACGAGACCUUCGGGUCUAGUGGCGCACGGGUGCGUAACGCGUGGGAACCUGCCCUUAGGUUCGGAAUAACUCCCCGAAAGGGGUGCUAAUACCGGAUAAUUUCUUCGGACCAAAGAUUUAUCGCCUUUGGAUGGGCCCGCGUUGGAUUAGCUAGUUGGUAGGGUAAAAGCCUACCAAGGCGACGAUCCAUAUCUGGUCUGAGAGGAUGAUCAGCCACACUGGGACUGAGACACGGCCCAGACUCCUACGGGAGGCAGCAGUGGGGAAUAUUGGACAGUGGGCGAAAGCCUGAUCCAGCAAGGCCGCGUGAGUGAUGAAGGCCUUAGGGUUGUAAAGCUCUUUUACCCGGGAUGAUAAUGACAGUACCGGGAGAAUAAGCUCCGGCUAACUCCGUG
rnacentral:rRNA from 1 species